GUGAACGCUGGCGGUAGGCCUAACACAUGCAAGUCGAACGGCAGCACCGUAAGAGCUUGCUCUUACGGGUGGCGAGUGGCGGACGGGUGAGGAAUACAUCGGAAUCUACUUUUUCGUGGGGGAUAACGUAGGGAAACUUACGCUAAUACCGCAUACGACCUACGGGUGAAAGCAGGGGAUCUUCGGACCUUGCGCGAUUGAAUGAGCCGAUGUCGGAUUAGCUAGUUGGCGGGGUAAAGGCCCACCAAGGCGACGAUCCGUAGCUGGUCUGAGAGGAUGAUCAGCCACACUGGAACUGAGACACGGUCCAGACUCCUACGGGAGGCAGCAGUGGGGAAUAUUGGACAAUGGGCGCAAGCCUGAUCCAGCCAUACCGCGUGGGUGAAGAAGGCCUUCGGGUUGUAAAGCCCUUUUGUUGGGAAAAAAAAGCAGCAGGUUAAUACCCCGCUGUCCUGACGGUACCCAAAGAAUAAGCACCGGCUAACUUCGUG
rnacentral:rRNA from 1 species